GCGGAUGUAGCUCAGUUGGAAAGAGCGCUCAGCUACGAACUGAGAGGGCGUGGGUUCGAAUCCUACCUUCCGUG
rnacentral:tRNA from 1 species